GAUGCAUUUCCUGAAAGCCCAUGGAUAUCAUAUGGGUGUACUGGUACUAACAGAAGCAGAACAAAGGAUGUCAGUAAUUAACUGAUUACAACAUCGCAUGCCGUAGGCCAGAGACCCCAGCGGACAGUAACACUUGGUUCUGUGUCCUGCACGAAGGAGAGUAAUAUAACAAAUGGGAGUGUGGAAAGCAGUGCAAGACAAGACAGUUAACACAUUUGUAAAGCAAAAUUUAAGUUCUGCUGUGCGUGUAUAUCUUGUGGCCUGAGAAUGUGUGAACUUUUACCAACAAAACUGGAUCAGAAGAUAUGGUCAACAGAGCACGUGGCAAUAAAACGACAAAUCCAAAUGAAGCACCCAACUCUGAAAUGCCAAAAAAAGUUUUAAUAACCCCAAAGCUUUCGGGAUCUCUCUCUUCAUCAGUGUUAAAAUGCAGUGUCUGUGAGCAACAACUUUGUCAGCUGUACGACCUUCGAGAUAAAGCUAGAAUGUAUAAUUUAACUCAAGAAGAACAUGAUGCUUUAUUGAAAUUGCAGGAAAAUACUAACAUUGUUAUAAAAUAAGCUGAUAAAGGCAGAGCCAUAGCCAUGCUGGGCAAAAGUGAUCAUCUUUUAUGAAUGAUUAUUUGAAUGAUGAAUGAACUUUUGUGGAGAUCGCUAGGGCAGAUUUGCCUAAUAUCAUACAUACAGUAAAUAUGUCUAUAUAUGACCUACAGUUUUUAAUGUAUCAUGCCCAGUGAUCCCAGUCCCACAUGAAUUACCAGCAAUCCACAAGGGUCUAAAAUGUCUACCAAUGAGGGUCUAAAAUGUCUACCAAUGAGGCCUAUAGUGUCGGGCAAAGGAUGGAUCACAGAGCCCAUUUCUUUGUGUUUGGAAUCUGUUUUAAGUAAAUAUCUCAUUAAUGUGAAAAGUUAUAUCUGUGAUACAGGAGAUUUUUUUUAACUAAAUUGCAUGAGUGUCAUGUUUUGAAGCGAGCUACUGAUUUCAUCUUUGUAACACUCGACAUUAAUUCAUUUGUUACGGUGAUUCCUAACAAUUUACAGCUUGGAUGCUGGACGUGACUUCCUGUGCUCUAAUAGUGGUUUAGAUGGAAGAGAGACUGAAAUUAUAUGUGAAUUGCUUGAAGCAGU